rnacentral:rRNA from 1 species
AAUUCUAGAGCUAAUACGUGCAACUAAAGCUCCGACCCCGUGAAGGGUUUUUAAAACUCCCUUUGCGGGGGAAGGGCGCAUUUAUUAGACCAAAAACCGGGUGGCUUCGGUUUCGGCCGUUGUCCUCCAAACACGGUUUCGUGGUGACUCUGAAUAACUACCGCCGAGCGCUCAGGUCUCAGUACCGGCGCCGUAUCCUUCAAGUGUCUGCCUUAUCAGCUCUCGAUUGUAGGUUAUUCGCCUACAAUGGCUGUAACGGGUAACGGGGAAUCAGGGUUCGAUUCCGGAGAGGGAGCCUGAGAGACGGCUACCACAUCUAAGGAAGGCAGCAGGCACGCAAAUUACCCAAUCUCGGCUCGAGGAGGUAGUGACGAAAAAUAACGAUGCGGGACUCUUCCGAGGCCUCGCAAUCGGAAUGAGUUCAAUUUAAAAACUUGGACGAGGAUCCAUUGGAGGGCAAGUCUGGUGCCAGCAGCCGCGGUAACUCCAGCUCCAAUAGCGUAUAUUAAAGUU